rnacentral:lncRNA from 1 species
GAUUCUUUUCUGGAGUAGACCUCCUUGAAAGGUCUCUAUGCUCCAUGCUGUGCCUGGAUGGCACUUCUACUGUCCCAGACCAUGUUGAAGCCUGAGGUUCAUGUGGAUGUCUGAAGUCCUACAGCAGCCAGGAGCCAUGGUGAUAUCCCUGGUCUAAGGUACUACUAAAAGCCACACUGAUACCCUUGGUCUAGGCUGAUGGCUGAGUCCAUGCUCAUGUCUAGUUCCAUAUUGUUGCCAGGGCCAUACUAUUGUUUGUGGACUGCUUUAUCUAAGACCAUGGUGAUGUUUGAGUCAGUGUUGUCUCCAUGUCUGGGUCCAUGGUCUUACUGCAGCUGGGGUCCAUGUUGAUAUCCAUGAUCAUGUUACCACCAAAAGCCAUGUGGAUGUCCAAGGUCUAUGUCAUAGUCUGAAUCUAUGUUUAUGUCCAUGAAUUGUGCUGCCUAUGUGGACAUAUUGAAGAGAGUGGCUUGUGCUGCCACCUAGACCAUGGUGAUGUCUGGGUUCAUACAGUCGUAGAAGGCCAUGUCUGGUCUAUGUUCCUACUAUGGCAGAGUGCCAUGUUGAUGACUGUGGUCUGUACUGACAUCAGAGAGCAUGCUGAUGUCCAGGAUAUAUGCUGACACCAGAGAUUAUGAGGAUGUCUGUGGUCCCUGUAGUCUCCAGAACCAUGUAUAGGUCCAUGAUUCAUGUUUCUACUAACUGUAAUGGGCAAGGAAACUACAUUUGUCAUCAUAUUGACGGCUACAGAUUCACAGUUGAGAAAGAGGAACACAGAAGGCUCUUGUGGCAACCCCUACAUCUACCCCACUGCACCUCCCCAAAACAUAACAGCCUAGACAGAAAGUCACCAAAGAAAACUCUUGAAAAUUGUGAUAAAGAUGCUGAAGUGUAACUCUCCACAAUCAAGUGGCUUCUGGUAGGGAUCUGGGUGGGGAAGGAUUCAGUAGUUUCCAAGAGGCUGGUUAUUGUGGGACCGUAAAAUGGGAUAUAGAUCUAAACAGAGAAUUCUAAAAAGAGGAAACUCAAGUGGGUCAAAACCACUUAGAAAUGUUCAACAUCCUUAGUCAUCAAGGAAAUGCAAAUCAAAACUACUUUGAAAUUUCAUCAUACACUAAUCAGAAUGUAAGAUCAAUAAGAUCAAUAAAACAAGCGACAGCUCAUACUAGCAAGCAUAAGGAGCCAGGGGAAUGUUCAUCCUUUGCUGGAGGGAGUGCAAGCUUAUGCAACCACUAUCACAAUCAGUAUGGCAGGUUCCCAUAUCCCAAGAGCCAGCUCUACCAACAUACUCCUCAAAUGGCCCUAAAUUUUAGCCAUCUUUCCCAUAUUCCCUCCCUUAACCCCUCUCUUCUCCCUUCCCCCACUUGUUCCUCCUGUUCUAGCUCCUUCUCCAUCUAUCCAUAACUAUCUGUUCUAUUUCCCUGUCCUAAUAAGAUCUGUCUGUAGCUUCUAGACUCAUAUUCUACAUCUUCCAAGUAAACAAGGACUUCUAUACCAACAUGAUCAAAACUCAUAAACUCACAUAGACUGAGGCAACAUGCACAAACCUUGUGUGGCUCUGCACCAGAUAUUCUGAUUAUAAAUAUUAUUAUUUCCAGUAUAGUGUUUUUAUGAGAUCCCUGAGUGUGAGCCCAAAUGGGUCUUGGAUCAUUGUAUCUUCUCUGUCUUGUCCAACUCUGUUGUGUUAGUUUUUGUUUUAUUUUACUGUUUUAUCUUUAUUCCUUAGAAUUACUAUUCUUCUUUAGAAUUAUUAUUCUUUAGAAACAUUCUUUUCCUUUGGAAUCAUUACUGCUUAGAAGCCUGUCUGUUUUCUAAUGAGCAACAGAAAGGGAGUGGAGGAGAAGGGAGGUAGAGAGGAACAGGAAGGAGUAGAGGAAGGGUAAACCAUAAUCAGGACAUAUUAUGUGAGGAAAAAGCUAUUUUCAAUAAAAGGAAAAUUAUUUUUAAAAAAGAGUUUAAAAGUUUCACUAAUGCAUGUAAACAUGUAUGAAAUAGUACAAGACUAAAAUGUGCUUUUAAUAAGAAAAUAUAAGAAACAAUGUUCUUUCAUUGAAUAAACUAAUGAUGUCGGUCUAAUUUAAAGUCUUAUUUAAGUUUUGUUUCAAAAUAUAAAUUUAAGGAAAUAUAUCAAAAUAAGAAUAAAAAAGCAAUCAGUAAAGUAAUGGAUAAAAUAUGAAAGAAGUCGUAAUCAUGAAUUUGUUUUCGUGAGGAAACAAAAUUAUGAGGCAAGGUCUCACUAUGUAUCCCUGGCCAUUCUGGAACUCAUUAUGUAGACUAUGCUGGUACUGAAGUUACAGAGAUCCCCAUGCCUCUGCAUUCUGACUACUGGUAUUAAAAGUAUUUGCCACGUGCAUCAAUGAAAGAAAAAUAUUAAAGAAUUUUGUAUCAAUUCUGUUUGCUAUAAGAUUUUUGUCCUGAAUUAUAAUAACUACAAAAUUAUAUAUAUUUGACCAAAUAAAAGUCUUACAACAUGUGGUAACCAGAUCACCCAUCCUUGUAUCCAGAGAAAAGGCCAAAAGCUGGCUAAAGAACCAGAGGUUAUCUUUGAGGUAUUCAGCUACAGACUUGUAGGUGAAGAGGAAUUAGACAUCAGGAAGCUAGCUGCCUUGCUGGCAACCCCCUCCAGCUAACCAGAAGGAAGAAGACACCUUAGGCAAGGGUCCCAUCAGCCCUUGUCACAGUCACAGUGAGCCAAAUCAGCACGACGUCUGCAAUCAGAAGAGAACUGGGGAAGAUGGAAUGUUCAAACCAUGCAGAGACAGAGGUAUAGAAAGAAUCUGUGUCUACUCCCAAACAGAGCAGAACUGACCUCAUUCAGCUUCCUUCAGUACAGCUUAGAUUCCCUCUGAGGAGCCUUGGGUUAUAUUAGUCCAAUAUGGAAGAAAAGAUCGAGUUUUAUUCAGUGUGAGAACCACAUACUACUGACUACCGUCUUAUAUGUUCUAUCGAAGACGGGAUAUGACACAAAAGAGUGUCAAGAAAAGAAGAAACAACAGUUUUACCAGCCUCUGCCUGUGAAGUCAGUUGAAAGAUUUGAAAGCAUCCAUUUAUGUGUGUUCAUUCCCUUUUACAACAGGAUCUGUUAGAUGAGCAGCCGCUGGCAAUAUGACCGAUACCAGGAUGUCAGUGUUGUAGAACUAAAAGCUCAUCACCUGCUAAGACGCAGCACAAAUGUUACAGCACCUGGCUUAGCUCCUAGGUGUUCCCAUCUGACUGUAAAAGUCAGUCCCUCAACCUAGUCAGUCAUUCUGCUGCCGAUGUCAUGGGCCUUCUAAUCCAUGACUGUUCAGAACGAAUGGACCAGGUAUAUUCAAG